rnacentral:rRNA from 1 species
CAGUCGAGCGAUGAAAUCUUAACAGAACCCUUCGGGGCGAAGAUAAGAUGGAUUAGCGGCGGACGGGUGAGUAACACGUGAGUAACCUGCCUUUUACACAGGGAUAGCCUCGGGAAACCGGGAUUAAAACCUGAUGAAACUAUCAAACCACAUGAUUAAGAAAGUUAAAACUCCGGUGGUAAAAGAUGGACUCGCGUCCCAUUAGCUAGUUGGUGAAGGUAACGGCCCACCAAGGCAACGAUGGGUAGCCGGCCUGAGAGGGUGAACGGCCACAUUGGAACUGAGAAACGGUCCAAACUCCUACGGGAGGCAGCAGUGGGGAAUAUUGCACAAUGGGGGAAACCCUGAUGCAGCGACGCCGCGUGAGCGAAGAAGGCCUUCGGGUCGUAAAGCUCUUUUAUAUGGGAAGAUAAUGACGGUACCAUAAGAAAAAGCCCCGGCUAACUACGUGCCAGCAGCCGCGGUAAUACGUAGGGGGCUAGCGUUGUCCGGAAUCACUGGGCGUAAAGGGUUCGCAGGCGGCAAUGCAAGUCAGAUGUAAAAGGCAAAGGCUCAACCUUUGUAAGCAUCUGAAACUGUAUAGCUUGAGAAGUGUAGAGGCAAGUGGAAUUUUUAGUGUAGCGGUGAAAUGCGUAGAUAUUAAAAAGAAUACCGGUGGCGAAGGCGACUUGCUGGGCACAAUCUGACGCUGAGGAACGAAAGCGUGGGGAGCAAACAGGAUUAGAUACCCUGGUAGUCCACGCCGUAAACGAUGAGUGCUAGGUGUCGGUAUAAAUCGGUGCCGCAGUUAACACAAUAAGCACUCC